UAACUAACUGUUCUUCAGUGAUGGCUA
rnacentral:sRNA from 1 species